rnacentral:lncRNA from 1 species
UACAAUACUAUAUUUGAUGUAAACAUAACUGAUGAUAUCUUUUUAGGGAAGUUAGCAUAUCGUUAAAUAAACUGCAAGGUCUAUAUAAUAAUUGGAUUAGUAUAUCUGAUAAACAUUCCAUGUAAAACAUUUUCAUUUGUUUAAAAUCGAUGUAUUUAUUUUUUAAAUAUAUUACAGUGAUAUAUAUAUAUAUAUAUUUUCUUUAUUAAUGAUGCAGAUUUUAUAUAAUAUAUCUUAGUUUUUACCACAUAUAUAAAUAUAUAUAUACAUACUUAAUAACACACCAAAACGUAUACAUGUUAUUGUUAUUACAGCUUGGCAAAAGAAAAAUGUUUUUUAAUAAAGGAGGAAAUAAAAUACUUGAAUAAAGAUCUAAAUGAUUUAGAAAAUUCAGUUAAUGUUGUUAAAAAUAAUAAAAGUAAAUUUAAUAUUAGUUCUGAAGAGAUAGAAAACAGAACAAAUGAUUUAAAAAAUAUUCGUAACACUUUAAAUAAUAUAGAUAGAAACUUAAAACGCAAUACUACCACAGUUUUAAAUUGUGAUACCAGUACGAUUAGCAGUUAUGGCAAAGUUACACUAAAAGAACAAGACAACGAUUUGGAGGAAUUAGCAGAAUCGGCAGAGAGGUUACAUAACGCCGCCAUUACAAUAAAUGCAGAAUUAAAAGACCAACAAAGGUUACUCGAAGAACUAGAAACUGAAAUGGAUUAUUCAAAUGAAAAAAUGAAUUUUGUAACAGAAAGGAUUUCAGAUUUUUUAAAAACAAAAAAUUCGUAUCUUCUAUAUAUUGGUAUUUUUCAUUUUCCCGCUCGUUUAUAACUGAGCUUAUGUUUAAUGUAGGAGAGUUAUCCAUUAAACUAUAUUUAUUAUGGCAUACAGAAUUUGCAGCGUUUAUUUUUGUGGCUACGUUUGUAACUGACUUGUUAUUACGUUUGCAACUAUUUUUGUGACGACGUUUACAACUUUUUUGUGACGACGUUUACAACUUUUUUGUGACGACGUUUGCAAUUAUUUUGUGAAUAUGUUUGUAACUAUUUUUGUGACUAUGUUUGUAACUAUUUUUGUGAN